GCUCCUUCCCUGUCGCCCGUGGGUCACCUCCACCGCCCCUGCUCUGCACCCAGUGCCUGCCUCUCAGAGCAAAGCUGCACUGUUAUCGGCGGCUGCCACAUGCUAGUCCUGCCUGGAUUCAGGAACUAGUUGUGAGAUCCGUGAGGCCCGGAGGAGAUGUAAGCAGACCAGUCAUGUAUGGUGCCCUGUCAAAAUGAACACACAUAGCCCACUGUUCAAAAAUUAAUCCAUUGAUGGCCAAAUGAAUCAACAAAAUGUGUCAUACAUUCACAACGGAAUAUUAUUCAGCCUUAAAAAAGGAAUACAAUUCUAACUGUAACGUCACAUGGAUGAGCCUUGAAGACACUAUGCUACGUGAAAGAAACCAGAGGACAAGUAUUGCAUGAUUCUGCUUAUGUGAGGCCUUUGGGACCACAGCAACAUUCUUCUCCAAGCUGUGUGCAUUUUUCAUCACACUUUGUCCACGGUAGGAGCUGGCAAACCUGUAAGUGCAACCAGAUGCUUCAGUGAAGUGGGAUUUAGUUCCUGAGGGCUCAGUUUCCCCGUGAGAAACCAUCCGCCCAGCAUCCCUAGGAGGUCUCUGCUGUUGCCAGGCAACCCCGUCCCUCCCUGAGCUUCAGGUCAGGGCCCUGCCUGUGGGAAUGACUUCCUUUGUCCUCACAUGCCCCUUCCUGCCUUUUAAACGUUCUCUGGUGGCUGAGAGCACCCCACAUGUGAGACCAGACUGUAUCCUGAUUCGUGCUACGCUUGGCAUGUGUAUUUCUGAGCUUUUUCUCCCCAGGAACCUGAAGUCCUUUUCUGUAUGUCAUGGAUAUUAUAUGAUCUAUAUGCAGAAAGCAUAUAUGAACACAUUACACAUGCAAAUGGAGCUAGCUCCUUGGAAGUUCCCUGUUCCUUCCUUGCCAGCUGCCAGCUUUGGCAGGCCUGCUGAAACCCAGGCAGGCCAUUUUAUUCAUCACGGCACAAAACCAGGGUUUGGCCCCUGUCUUCCUAAAAAUCACGAGAUACAAAGACUGGGAAGAAGAGGGGGUGGUUUUAGUUCUCCCUUGACAACACUGGCCCUUUCCUGGAGGCUAAAUGAAGCUUUUUGCCCCCACCUAUUGUGAACCUGUCUUCCUUAUGAUGGAGUACUUGUGGCUUUAUUCUUUGGGGAGCACCGAGACAGUGUCUAAAGAACAGCUGGAUAUAUAUAUAAGAGGGCAGUCUCGGCCUCUGGGGGGCCUGGCCAUCAGGAUCCAAGGUUUCUUUGUGGAAGGAAUGUGUGCGGCAUGAUAGAAACCCUUCCAUUUCAUAGAAAACUCAGGAUGUAACACAAGCGUCUGCUUGGCAUGGCGGUUCCCGAGUCUUUCUUCUGGGAAGUCAUUCUUUCCUUUAAUAUCCAAAAAAUGCUUUCAGUGUUGUCGCUUUCUCUCUCUCCCUGCUCCCCUCCCCCUCUCUUUCUCGACC